rnacentral:rRNA from 1 species
AACGAACGCUGGCGGCAUGCCUAACACAUGCAAGUCGAACGAGACCUUCGGGUCUAGUGGCGCACGGGUGCGUAACGCGUGGGAAUCUGCCCUUGGGUUCGGAAUAACAGUUGGAAACGACUGCUAAUACCGGAUGAUGACGUAAAUCCAAAGAUUUAUCGCCCAAGGAUGAGCCCGCGUAGGAUUAGCUAGUUGGUGAGGUAAAGGCUCACCAAGGCGACGAUCCUUAGCUGGUCUGAGAGGAUGAUCAGCCACACUGGGACUGAGACACGGCCCAGACUCCUACGGGAGGCAGCAGUGGGGAAUAUUGGACAAUGGGCGAAAGCCUGAUCCAGCAAUGCCGCGUGAGUGAUGAAGGCCUUAGGGUUGUAAAGCUCUUUUACCCGGGAUGAUAAUGACAGUACCGGGAGAAUAAGCUCCGGCUAACUCCGUG